rnacentral:rRNA from 1 species
CCCUAUGGGGUGCUUCUUGCCAUGAAGAAAGAUUCCGGGAUAGAUAUAUAUGAAUUAAGGGUUGACGGUGGAGCAACAGUGAAUAAUAAUCUUAUGCAGUUCCAGUCCGAUCUCCUUCAGGCAAAUGUGGUCAGGCCGAAAAUAACAGAGACUACGGCGCUGGGUGCUGCAUAUCUGGCUGGCCUGGCAGUUGACUACUGGAGCGGGUUGAAAGAGAUAAAACAGCAGUGGCAGGUGGAUCAGAUUUUUUAUCCGGGUAUUGGCGGGAGAGC